GGUCUCUAUCUCCUGACCUUGUGAUCCACCCACCUCAGCCUCCCAAAGUGCUGGGAUUGCAGGUGGGAGCCACCGGGUCCAGCCUCUCCGGCGAUUUUCAUACCUGCAUACUCUGAUCACUACUCUGUUAAACAGUCAAGGAGGCUGAGUGCCACGUGCUGACGUCACUAAGAUCAAUACAGCAAACUCUGAAAGAUGGACAGAGAGACAGGAGAUGGUCCUUUAUAAUGCAGUGUGAUCUGUGCUGCAAUAGAGUUUUGGAAGCUAGAAGUUCAAAACGAGGUGUUGGCAGCACCAUGCUCUCUCUGAAGAUGCUAGGAAGAAUCUGCUCCAUGCCUUUCCAUUCGCUCCUGGGGUUUCCUGCAAGCCCUGACAUUCCUUGGCUUGUAGAUACACCACCCCAGUUUCCGCCCCCAUCAUCACAUGGCCUCCUCUCUGUGGGUGCCUCUGCGUUCCCUCUAUUCUUCUUCUAAGGACACCGACACCAGUCAUAGUGGAUUAAGGGUCCACUCCUAACUAAUUACAUCUGCAACCACCCUAUUUCCAAAUAAAGUCACAUUCUAAGAUUCCUAGGGAGAACAUGAAGUUUUGGGGGUGUGUGGAUACUGUUCAACCUGGGACAUGGAGUAAAUAAAUGGCAAGAAAGAUUACAGAUGACUUUAAGCUAAAGAGGGAGAUAGGGUUAAAUGUAGGACUUUUUUUUUUUUCCAGGACGGGAGAGGUUUAAACAUGUUACUACAUUGAAUAAAUGAAA
rnacentral:lncRNA from 1 species